GCAGUCGAGCGAAUGACGAGAAGCUUGCUUCUCUGAUUUAGCGGCGGACGGGUGAGUAACACGUGGGCAACCUGCCCUACAGAUUGGGAUAACUCAGGGAAACCUGGGCUAAUACCGAAUAAUCCUUCGAAUCACAUGUUUUGAAGUUGAAAGGCGCUUCGGCGUCACUGUAGGAUGGGCCCGCGGUGCAUUAGCUAGUUGGUGGGGUAACGGCCUACCAAGGCAACGAUGCAUAGCCGACCUGAGAGGGUGAUCGGCCACAUUGGGACUGAGACACGGCCCAAACUCCUACGGGAGGCAGCAGUAGGGAAUCUUCCACAAUGGACGAAAGUCUGAUGGAGCAACGCCGCGUGAGUGAUGAAGGUUUUCGGAUCGUAAAACUCUGUUGUAAGGGAAGAACAAGUACGUUAGGAAAUGAACGUACCUUGACGGUACCUUAUUAGAAAGCCACGGCUAACUACGUGCCAGCAGCCGCGGUAAUACGUAGGUGGCAAGCGUUGUCCGGAUUUAUUGGGCGUAAAGCGCGCGCAGGUGGUUUCUUAAGUCUGAUGUGAAAGCCCACGGCUCAACCGUGGAGGGUCAUUGGAAACUGGGGAACUUGAGUGCAGAAGAGGAUAGUGGAAUUCCAAGUGUAGCGGUGAAAUGCGUAGAGAUUUGGAGGAACACCAGUGGCGAAGGCGACUGUCUGGUCUGUAACUGACACUGAGGCGCGAAAGCGUGGGGAGCAAACAGGAUUAGAUACCCUGGUAGUCCACGCCGUAAACGAUGAGUGCUAAGUGUUAGGGGGUUUCCGCCCCUUA
rnacentral:rRNA from 2 species